UUCUUAGACCUGUGCGGCGGUUUUAAAAGAAAACGGGUCAGGCGGGGAACCGAGCAGCCCAGCUUGCUAGACUGUGCGCCGCAGCCAUCUGGGAAGAA
rnacentral:SRP_RNA from 1 species